GAUGAACGCUGGCGGCGUGCCUAAUACAUGCAAGUCGAGCGAACAGACGAGGAGCUUGCUCCUCUGACGUUAGCGGCGGACGGGUGAGUAACACGUGGAUAACCUACCUAUAAGACUGGGAUAACUUCGGGAAACCGGAGCUAAUACCGGAUAAUAUAUUGAACCGCAUGGUUCAAUAGUGAAAGACGGUUUUGCUGUCACUUAUAGCUGGAUCCGCGCCGCAUUAGCUAGUUGGUAAGGUAACGGCUUACCAAGGCAACGAUGCGUUGCCGACCUGAGAGGGUGAUCGGCCACACUGGAACUGAGACACGGUCCAGACUCCUACGGGAGGCAGCAGUAGGGAAUCUUCCGCAAUGGGCGAAAGCCUGACGGAGCAACGCCGCGUGAGUGAUGAAGGUCUUCGGAUCGUAAAAAUCUGUUAUUAGGGAAGAACAAAUGUGUAAGUAACUAUGCACGUCUUGACGGUACCUAAUCAGAAAGCCACGGCUAACUACGUG
rnacentral:rRNA from 1 species